UCCGGUUUGUCACCGGCAGUCUCCUAUGAGUCCCCGACAUUACUCGCUGGCAGCAUAGAACAGGGGUUGCGCUCGUUGCGGGACUUAACCCAACAUCUCACGGCACGAGCUGACGACAGCCAUGCAGCACCUGUGCAGCAGUCCCGAAGGAAGAGUCCAUCUCUGGACCUGUCUACUGCAUGUCAAGCCUGGGUAAGGUUCUUCGCGUUGCAUCGAAUUAAAGAACAUGCUCCGCUGCUUGUGCGGGCCCCCGUCAAUUCUUUUGAGUUUUAGCCUUGCGGCCGUACUCCCCAGGCGGAACACUUAUCGCGUUGGCUUCGGCACGGACAGAUUCGACUCCGCCCACACCUAGUGUUCAUCGUUUACGGCGUGGACUAC
rnacentral:misc_RNA from 1 species